GUAGGGAAUAUUGGGCAAUGGUCGGAAGACUGACCCAGCCAUGCCGCGUGCAGGAAGACGGCCCUCUGGGUUGUAAACUGCUUUUAUCUGGGAAGAAAAAGGCCAUGCGUGGCAAAUUGCCGGUACCAGAUGAAUAAGCACCGGCUAACUCCGUGCCAGCAGCCGCGGUAAUACGGAGGGUGCGAGCGUUGUCCGGAAUUAUUGGGUUUAAAGGGUGCGUAGGCGGCUGAUUAAGUCAGCGGUGAAAGACUUCGGCUUAACCGGAGCAGUGCCGUUGAUACUGGUUGGCUUGAGUGUCGGAGGGGUACAUGGAAUUGAUGGUGUAGCGGUGAAAUGCAUAGAUACCAUCAGGAACACCGAUAGCGAAGGCAUUGUACUGGCCGACAACUGACGCUGAUGCACUAAAGUGUGGGGAUCGAACAGGAUUAGAUACCCGUGUAGUCC
rnacentral:rRNA from 1 species